AUUUCUAUUCGAAUUAAUAAAAUGUAUUAUUAUUUCUUGACUGUAAUUACUAUUAGCAAAAUAAGGCAUUUAUACUCUUCUUCUUCUUCAAAUCGCCCGAGUAUUGUGAAAAUUUUAUACUGAUAUCCUGCGACGACAGCUUGGGUCGAAUGGCCAAAUGGAGGGGCCACACCCUCUAAGGAUGCUCUGCACCUCAUUUUGAUGAGCUUCAAUGUCGUUUUACUUUCUGGGCAUUCAUGCUUCUUGUUUCUAUUCUUCUGCAGAUGUGUUACACCACCAUAAUUGUGAGAAAGAAUCUUCCAGUAGCAAUCGUAGAGGAAAAUAAGGAAAAUCCAUGUCCAUCAUAGAUGGCAAAUGAGCAUCACCAAGCAGCGUUUGAUUAUGUAAAGCCUUGUUCGCUUCUCCCUCAGGACACUACCUCCUGGAACUUGAACCUUGCAUUGUUUCCGCGUUGGUAACAGCAGGUAUCCCAUGCCUUUGAGUUCUCUCCUCUUGCCACUUUUCAGCAAUGGUGCUAGAACAAGAAAACCAGAUAUGUUGACUUGUUUCUUCUUCUUUUUUGCUAAGCUAACUCUCACUUUAUGAAAUAAUAAAGGACCUUAUUCAUUCUCAUUUAAGAGUUUAGUCUGACUAUCUGAGGAGGUUACAAAAAGGUUGUUACAAAAUUUUGUCUGCAAGUGCUAAGUGGAUGCAUGUCGAUUUU